UGCUGUUGAAAAAGCAUGGGAUGAGCUGUGGAUAGCGGAGAAAUUCCAAUCGAACUCGGAGAUAGCUGGUUCUCCUCGAAAUAGCUUUAGGGCUAGCGUCGGAUAUGAGUAAUGGAGGUAGAGCACUGAAUGGGCUAGGGGGCGUAUCGCUUACCGAACCUUAUCAAACUCCGAAUGCCAUAUACUAUGAGUCCGGCAGUCAGACUACGAAUGAUAAGAUCCGUGGUCAAAAGGGAAAAAGCCCAGAUCGUCAGCUAAGGUCCCAAAGUGUAAGUUAAGUGGUAAAGGAUGUGGGAUUUCUAAGACAACUAGGAUGUUGGCUUAGAAGCAGCCACUCAUUUAAAGAGUGCGUAAUAGCUCACUAGUCGAGAGAUCCUGCGCCGAAAAUGUCCGGGGCUCAAACUUACCACCGAAGCUACGGGCUCAAGUUUACUUGAGCGGUAGAGGAGCGUCGUAAUCGGGCUGAAGUCGUACCGUAAGGAGCGGUGGACUGAUUACGAGUGAGAAUGUUGGCAUUAGUAGCGAGAUGUAAGUGAGAAUCUUACAGGCCGAAAAUCUAAGGUUUCCUGGGGAAGGCUCGUCCGCCCAGGGUUAGUCGGGACCUAAGCCGAGGCCGAAAGGCGUAGGUGAUGGACAAUUGGUUGAUAUUCCAAUACCACUAUUAUCGUUAUUAUCGAUGGUGUGACGGAGAAGGAUAGGAUGUGCUAGCGAUUGGAAAUGCUAGUCUAAGCAUUUAGGGAGUUAAAGUAGGCAAAUCCGCUUUAACAAUUCUGAGGUGUGAUGGGGAAGGUCAUUUUGACUGAAGUAUCUGAUUCCAUGCUUCCAAGAAAAGCAUCUAGAGAGAGAAGUAGUGCCCGUACCGCAAACCGACACAGGUAGAUGAGGAGAGAAUCCUAAGGCCAUCGGAAGAAUUGCAGUUAAGGAACUAGGCAAAUUGACCCCGUAAGUUCGCGAGAAGGGGUGCCUGUGAGAGCAGGCCGCAGAGAAUAGGCCCAAGCAACUGUUUAGCAAAAACACAGGUCUCUGCUAAAGCGUAAGCUGAUGUAUAGGGGCUGACGCCUGCCCGGUGCUGGAAGGUUAAGGGGAACACUUAGCGCAAGCGAAGGUGUGAACUUAAGCCCCAGUAAACGGCGGCCGUAACUAUAACGGUCCUAAGGUAGCGAAAUUCCUUGUCAGGUAAGUUCUGACCCGCACGAAUGGCGUAAUGACUUGGGCACUGUCUCAACUGUAAAUCCGGCGAAGUUGUAGUGCGAGUGAAGAUGCUCGCUACCCGCGAUUGGACGGAAAGACCCCGUAGAGCUUUACUGUAGCUUAGCAUUGAGUUUCGAUAUUGUCUGUACAGGAUAGGUGGGAGACUGAGAAGCUAGGGCGUCAGCCUUAGUGGAGUCAACCUUGGGAUACCACCCUGACAGUAUUGGGAUUCUAACCGGACGCCAUGAAUCUGGUGACGGGACAUUGUUAGGUGGGCAGUUUGACUGGGGCGGUCGCCUCCUAAAAAGUAACGGAGGCGCCCAAAGGUUCCCUCAGAACGGUCGGAAAUCGUUCGAAGAGUGCAAAGGCAGAAGGGAGCCUGACUGCGACACCCACAAGUGGAGCAGGGACGAAAGUCGGGCUUAGUGAUCCGGUGGUACCUCGUGGGAGGGCCAUCGCUCAACGGAUAAAAGCUACCUCGGGGAUAACAGGCUGAUCUCCCCCAAGAGUCCACAUCGACGGGGAGGUUUGGCACCUCGAUGUCGGCUCGUCGCAUCCUGGGGCUGAAGUAGGUCCCAAGGGUUGGGCUGUUCGCCCAUUAAAGCGGCACGCGAGCUGGGUUCAGAACGUCGUGAGACAGUUCGGUCCCUAUCCGUCGCGGGCGUAGGAAAUUUGAGAGGAGCUGUCCUUAGUACGAGAGGACCGGGAUGGACUGACCUCUGGUGCACCAGUUGUUCCGCCAGGAGCAUAGCUGGGUAGCUAAGUCGGGAAGGGAUAAACGCUGAAAGCAUCUAAGCGUGAAGCCCCCCUCAAGAUGAGAUUUCCCAUAGCGUAAGCUAGUAAGACCCCUUGAAGAACACAAGGUUGAUAGGUCAGAGGUGUAAGUGUGGUAACAUAUUUAGCUGACUGAUACUAAUAGGUCGAGGGCUUGACCAA
rnacentral:rRNA from 1 species